AGCGGGAUGGAGCAGUCUGGCAGCUCGCGUGGCUCAUAACCACGAGGUCCUGGGUUCGAAUCCCAGUCCCGCAA
rnacentral:tRNA from 1 species